AGACACACACUCACUCACUAACACACAUACUAACAGACACACACACAGACACACACACACAGACACACUAACAGACACACACACACACUGACACACACUCACACUAACAGACACACUCACACUGACACACACACGCUAACAGACACCCACACUAACACACUCACACACACUUACAGACACACAUACUAACAGACACACACAGACACACACUCACACUAACAGACAUACACACUCUAACAGACACACAUUCACACUAACAUACACACACACUAACAGACACACACAGGGACACACUAACAGACAGACACACACAGGGACACACACACACACUCACACUAACAUAUACACACACACUAACAGACAUAUACACACAGACACACUAACAAACACACACUAACAUACACACACACAC